AGUCGAACGAGAGAAGAGAAGCUUGCUUUUCUGAUCUAGUGGCGGAGGGUGAGUAACACGUGAGCAAUCUGCCUUUCAGAGGGGGAUACCGAUUGGAAACGAUCGUUAAUACCGCAUAAUAUAAUUGAACCGCAUGAUUUGAUUAUCAAAGAUUUAUCGCUGAAAGAUGAGCUCGCGUCUGAUUAGCUAGUUGGUAAGGUAACGGCUUACCAAGGCGACGAUCAGUAGCCGGACUGAGAGGUUGAUCGGCCACAUUGGGACUGAGACACGGCCCAGACUCCUACGGGAGGCAGCAGUGGGGAAUAUUGCACAAUGGAGGAAACUCUGAUGCAGCGAUGCCGCGUGAGGGAAGAAGGUUUUAGGAUUGUAAACCUCUGUCUUCAGGGACGAAAAAUGACGGUACCUGAGGAGGAAGCUCCGGCUAACUACGUGCCAGCAGCCGCGGUAAUACGUAGGGAGCGAGCGUUGUCCGGAAUUACUGGGUGUAAAGGGAGCGUAGGCGGGAUCGCAAGUCAGAUGUGAAAACUAUGGGCUUAACCCAUAAACUGCAUUUGAAACUGUGGUUCUUGAGUGAAGUAGAGGUAAGCGGAAUUCCUAGUGUAGCGGUGAAAUGCGUAGAUAUUAGGAGGAACAUCAGUGGCGAAGGCGGCUUACUGGGCUUUAACUGACGCUGAGGCUCGAAAGCGUGGGGAGCAAACAGGAUUAGAUACCCUGGUAGUCCACGCCGUAAACGAUGAUUACUAGGUGUGGGGGGACUGACCCCUUCCGUGCCGCAGCAAACGCAAUAAGUAAUCCACCUGGGGAGUACGACCGCAAGGUUGAAACUCAAAGGAAUUGACGGGGGCCCGCACAAGCAGUGGAGUAUGUGGAUUUAAUUC
rnacentral:rRNA from 1 species